ensembl:lncRNA
GGGGGUUAUAUAGUAGUAUAGUUAUGAGGGGUUAAUAUAUAGUAUAGUUAUGAUGGGUUAUAUAGUAGUAUAGUUAUGAGGGGUUAUAUAGUAGUAUAGUUAUGAGGGGUUAUAUAGUGGUAUAGUUAUGAGGGGUUAUAUAGUAGUAUAGUUAUGAUGGGUUAUAUAGUAGUAUAGUUAUGAGGGGUAUAUAGUAUAUAGUUAUGAGGGGUUAUAUAGUAGUAUAGUUAUGAGGGGCUAUAUAGUAGUAUAGUUAUGAUGAGUUAUAUAGUAGUAUAGUUAUGAUGGGUUAUAUAGUAGUAUAGUUAUGAUGGGUUAUAUAGUGCUAUAGUUAUGAGGGGUUAUAUAGUAGUAUAGUUAUGUAACUUUGGUUCUAUGACCGUCGAAUAACCUUGUCAGUCAGAACCAGUGCAAACCAUGUGAGAAGGGUCUAUGGAAAGAUGGUUUUAUGAGGGCGGUGUUUAUUGCAAAAUCUGUCUGCAAAGGUCUCAGUGUGCAUGCAAAAGUUAUCUGAUUGAUUCUCCCUGUCUCAGGCAGUUAUCCAUGGUUCGUAGAGUUACACAGUUACACAAAUAACUAGUGUUAUAUAUCUGCACGACUAUUUUUAAGGAAACAUUUGGUUUACA